rnacentral:rRNA from 1 species
GAUGAACGCUAGUGACGUGCUUUAUACAUGCAAGUCGUGCGAUCGAACCGGGCCAAGUUUCCUUCGGGAAAUGCGGACUGGUAACGGAGCGGCGAACGGGUGAGUAAUGCGUAGCUAACCUGUCCUCUUGACAGAGACAACCAUUUGAAAAGAUGGCUAAUACCUGAUGUUGCAUAUACUCGGUGGAGUAUAUGCCAAAGGCGGUUUUGCCGCCGCAAGGGGAGGGGGCUACGUCCUAUUAGCUAGUUGGUGAGGUAACGGCCCACCAAGGCAACGAUGGGUAGCUGGUCUGAGAGGACGAUCAGCCACAUUGGGACUGAGACACGGCCCAAACUCCUACGGGAGGCAGCAGUAGGGAAUCUUCCGCAAUGGGCGCAAGCCUGACGGAGCGACGUCACGUGAAGGAUGAAGGCCUUCGGGUCGUAAACUUCUUUUCUGGGGAAAGAAUAAGAAUGAGAGGAAAUGUUCAUUCGAUGACGGUACUUCAGGAAUAAGUCACGGCUAACUCUGUGCCAGCAGCCGCGGUAAGACAGAGGUGGCAAGCGUUAUCCGGAAUUACUGGGCGUAAAGGGCGUCUAGGCGGCUUGACAAGUCAUCUGUGAAAUUCCUCGGCUUAACCGAGGGCAGUCAGGUGAAACUGUCAGGCUAGGGUCCAGAAGAGGAGGGUGGAAUUCACAGAGUAGCGGUGAAAUGCGUAGAUACUGUGAGGUACCUCAAUGGCGAANGCAACCCUCUGGGCUGAGACCGACGCUGAAGCGCGAAAGCGUGGGGAGCAAAGGGGAUUAGAUACCCCCGUAGUCCACGCCCUAAACGAUGUUCACUUGGUGCUGGCCGCUAAAAUNANGGCCAGUGCCGGAGCUAACGCAUUAAGUGAA